rnacentral:rRNA from 1 species
AUAAUACCCUAUAGGUUACAGAUGCUGGAAUGCUCUGUAACUCAAAGUUCCGGCGCCUUAGGAUGGAUCUGCGGCCGAUUAGGUUGUUGUUGGGGUAACGGCCCAACAAGCCUGUAAUCGAUACGGGUUGUGGGAGCAAGAGCCCGGAGAUGGAAUCUGAGACACGAUUCCAGGCCCUACGGGGCGCAGCAGGCGCGAAAACUUUACAAUGCAGGAAACUGUGAUAAGGGAACUCCGAGUGCCCGUAUACGCGGGCUGUCCAGGUGUUUAAAAAUCAUCUGAAGAAAGGGCCGGGCAAGACCGGUGCCAGCCGCCGCGGUAAUACCGGCGGCUCGAGUGGUGGCCACUAUUAUUGGGCUUAAAGCGUCCGUAGCUGGACCGAUAAGUCUCUUGGGAAAUCCGCCGGCUCAACCGGCGGGCGUCUAAGGGAUACUGUUAGUCUAGGGACCGGGAGAGGUGAGAGGUACUCCGGGGGUAGGAGUGAAAUCCUGUAAUCCCCGGGGGACCACCGAUGGCGAAGGCAUCUCACCAGAACGGCUCCGACAGUGAGGGACGAAAGCUGGGGGAGCGAACCGGAUUAGAUACCCGGGUAGUCCCAGCCGUAAACUAUGCGCGUUAGGUGC